rnacentral:tRNA from 1 species
AAACUAUUAAAUUUUUUAGUUUUGAAAACUAAAAUUAAGAUUUUGUCUUGUAGUUUUA